GACGAACGCUGGCGGCGUGCUUAACACAUGCAAGUCGAACGGAAAGGCCCUGCUUUUGUGGGGUGCUCGAGUGGCGAACGGGUGAGUAACACGUGAGUAACCUGCCCUUGACUUUGGGAUAACUUCAGGAAACUGGGGCUAAUACCGGAUAGGAGCUCCUGCUGCAUGGUGGGGGGUGGAAAGUUUCGGCGGUUGGGGAUGGACUCGCGGCUUAUCAGCUUGUUGGUGGGGUAGUGGCUUACCAAGGCUUUGACGGGUAGCCGGCCUGAGAGGGUGACCGGCCACAUUGGGACUGAGAUACGGCCCAGACUCCUACGGGAGGCAGCAGUGGGGAAUAUUGCACAAUGGGCGGAAGCCUGAUGCAGCAACGCCGCGUGCGGGAUGAAGGCCUUCGGGUUGUAAACCGCUUUCGCCUGUGACGAAGCGUGAGUGACGGUAAUGGGUAAAGAAGCACCGGCUAACUACGUG
rnacentral:rRNA from 1 species